rnacentral:rRNA from 1 species
GCCAGACUCCUACGGGAGGCAGCAGUGGGGAAUAUUGCACAAUGGGGGAAACCCUGAUGCAGCGACGCCGCGUGAGUGAAGAAGUAUCUCGGUACGUAAAGCUCUAUCAGCAGGGAAGAAAAUGACGGUACCUGAUUAAGAAGCCCCGGCUAACUACGUGCCAGCAGCCGCGGUAAUACGUAGGGGGCAAGCGUUAUCCGGAUUUACUGGGUGUAAAGGGAGCGUAGACGGUGAUGCAAGUCAGAAGUGAAAGCCCGGGGCUCAACUCCGGGACUGCUUUUGAAACUGUGUGACUGGAGUGCAGGAGAGGUAAGCGGAAUUCCUGGUGUAGCGGUGAAAUGCGUAGAUAUCAGGAGGAACACCAGUGGCGAAGGCGGCUUACUGGACUGUAACUGACGUUGAGGCUCGAAAGCGUGGGGAGCAAACAGGAUUAGAUACCCGCGUA